rnacentral:rRNA from 1 species
AAAUUGAAGAGUUUGAUCAUGGCUCAGAUUGAACGCUGGCGGCAGGCCUAACACAUGCAAGUCGAACGGUAACAGGAAGCAGCUUGCUGCUUCGCUGACGAGUGGCGGACGGGUGAGUAAUGUCUGGGAAACUGCCUGAUGGAGGGGGAUAACUACUGGAAACGGUAGCUAAUACCGCAUAACGUCGCAAGACCAAAGAGGGGGACCUUUGGGCCUCUUGCCAUCGGAUGUGCCCAGAUGGGAUUAGCUAGUAGGUGGGGUAACGGCUCACCUAGGCGACGAUCCCUAGCUGGUCUGAGAGGAUGACCAGCCACACUGGAACUGAGACACGGUCCAGACUCCUACGGGAGGCAGCAGUGGGGAA